GAUGAACGCUAGCUACAGGCUUAACACAUGCAAGUCGAGGGGUAACAAGAGGAAAGCUUGCUUUCCUUGUUGACGACCGGCGCACGGGUGAGUAACGCGUAUCCAACCUGCCUAUAACUAGGGAAUAACCUUGCGAAAGUAAGACUAAUACCCUAUGAUUUCCUUUGAUGACAUCAGAUUAGGAAUAAAGAUUUAUCGGUUAUAGAUGGGGAUGCGUCUGAUUAGCUUGUUGGCGGGGUAACGGCCCACCAAGGCAACGAUCAGUAGGGGUUCUGAGAGGAAGGUCCCCCACAUUGGAACUGAGACACGGACCAAACUCCUACAGGAGGCAGCAGUGAGGAAUAUUGGUCAAUGGGCGGAAGCCUGAACCAGCCAAGUAGCGUGCAGGAUGACGGCCCUAUGGGUUGUAAACUGCUUUUAUACAGGAAUAAAGUUAGCCACGUGUGGUUAUUUGUAGGUACUGUAUGAAUAAGGACCGGCUAAUUCCGUGCCAGCAGCCGCGGUAA
rnacentral:rRNA from 1 species